UGCCAGCAGCCGCGGUAACACGGGGGGCGCAAGCGUUAUUCGGAUUUACUGGGCGUAAAGAGCGCGCAGGCGGUCAGGUAAGUCGAAUGUGAAAGCCCCCGGCUCAACUGGGGAAGGUCAUUCGAUACUGCUUGACUUGAAGAUGGGAGAGGGAAGCGGAAUUUCCGGUGUAGUGGUGAAAUGCGUAGAUAUCGGAAGGAACACCAGUGGCGAAGGCGGCUUUCUGGCCCAUUCUUGACGCUGAGGCGCGAAAGCUAGGGGAGCGAACGGGAUUAGAUA
rnacentral:rRNA from 1 species